GAUGAACGCUCGCUCCAGGCUUAACACAUGCAAGUCGAGGGGCAGCAUGGUCUUAGCUUGCUAAGGCCGAUGGCGACCGGCGCACGGGUGAGUAACACGUAUCCAACCUGCCGUCUACUCUUGGACAGCCUUCUGAAAGGAAGAUUAAUACAAGAUGGCAUCAUGAGUCCGCAUGUUCACAUGAUUAAAGGUAUUCCGGUAGACGAUGGGGAUGCGUUCCAUUAGAUAGUAGGCGGGGUAACGGCCCACCUAGUCUUCGAUGGAUAGGGGUUCUGAGAGGAAGGUCCCCCACAUUGGAACUGAGCCACGGUCCAAACUCCUACGGGAGGCAGCAGUGAGGAAUAUUGGUCAAUGGGCGCAGGCCUGAACCAGCCAAGUAGCGUGAAGGAUGACUGCCCUAUGGGUUGUAAACUUCUUUUAUAAAGGAAUAAAGUCGGGUAUGUAUACCCGUUUGCAUGUACUUUAUGAAUAAGGAUCGGCUAACUCCGUG
rnacentral:rRNA from 1 species